UGCGCGCGCGCGCCCGUGUGUGUGUGUGUGUGUGUGUGUGUGUGUGUGUGCAGCUGCGCGGGCGCGCCCGUGUGUGUGUGUGUGUGUGUGUGUGUGUGUGUAAGAGUGAGAGAGGCUUGAAAAGAGGAGGGAUGGAACCAGAGUGAAGGACUGAUGCUUCCCCGCGCCUACACCGCAUGUUCCGAAAAGAAGAGAAGAAAGGUCAGGUAUCCUGACCGCAGUUCUUUCGCUCGCAUGAUGGGCAUCCUGGAUUGCUGGAUCAGUGAGGCAGGAGCUGGGCUGAGUACUGGAGAUGUACAACAGUGAACACGACAGGAUCCUGACCCUUCCAGAAAACCGAGGAGAAAGGGCGUGGCUUUUCCACUUCUGAAGGGGACACACCGGCAGGGGAGGUGCAUACCCAGAGGCAGACCCUGCUCUGGCGGCAGAACCAGGACUAGAACUGAGGACUUCCAGCACUCGAGCUGUCUUCUCUGUUCCAUCCCACAGGCUGCCUGGGAAAGACAGGCCCUGGUCUUCAUGCUGCUCGGGGCACAGCAGGGAGAAGAUGUGCUGCCCAUUCUGACCCUCACCCCCAGCUCCUCGGGGGUCCCCAGUAUUCCCCUCCCCAAACAGCCUCAUGGGAACAAACCUGUUCUACAGAUACCAUGAUUCCCACCCCGGCCCCAUGUUACAGGCUCUCCUCCUAAUCACAAAGCAGCUGCCAGCAGCUCUAGCCAUGCGUCCUAAUCUCCCACAGCUCCAGCAGAAACAGAGACUCUUUUCCCAACAGUUCUAACAGCAUUCGCCAAACCAAGUCUCAUUGGCUGUUACUGAAAUAUGUAUCCAUUCCUUGGCCAGUCAGUGUGACCAAGGGUUCUGAUUGGCCAGGCCACCGAGCCUGAGGGUCUCAGAGGUACCUGGUGUUUGAAGUCCAUGUGGGUCUAGCUAUCCCAGCCUCAGGACUCAGCAAGAUCCAAGUGUGAAAAGUGAAAGUGAAAGUUGAUCAGUCGUGUCCGACUCUUUACAACCCCAUGGACUAUGCAUGGAAUUCUCCAGGCCAGAAUACUGGAGUGGAUAGCCAUUUCCUUCACCAGGGGAUCUUCCCAAUGCAGGUCCAAGAAGAAUCCUCCAGAAUUUGUAGAGAGGCUUAUAUUUCAUAGGCCUUCAAUAAAUGGCAACAGUUUUUAUUGGUAUUCUUCCUCCACUUUUCCUCUGUUAUCAUCUUGAUGGUAAUGUCUAGCAUACAGUGUGUACCCCAGGAAUCCUUAGUGGUUAACUGAUUUGGAUAGGGGGUUGCUGAUACCACGUACCAAGUCAGAGUCUGGAUAGAUUGGACAGCUAUAGGUCUGCAGACAAAAUGAGACUCGUUAAAAGAGCUAUUCGAUUUUUUAUUUUGUCUUGUCUUCCAUAACAGAACUGAAGCUAUAGUCUAGAGCUCCUGGAGAGUAUCACCAGACUCUCUAGGAACAGACUCCCCUAUCACACACACCCACCCACCAGCCUGUCUAAGAGGAUGUAGUAAGGAGGAGCCCGUUAGGAGGUUGGUCCAGGAGGGCAGGCAGAGCUUGUCAGAUCCAAUUAGACUAUUUCUUGACUCACCCGAUGCUGUAGAGAGGUUGCCUGGGAUGGGGCUGGGGACCAGGAUGUUCCAGCCUGAUCCUUUUCUCCUUGGGCCACUAGCUACUCUGAUUCAGUUGGGCAGUUUGAGUUUCUGUGAGGGAUUGGAGGUCCAUUAAGUCCUGACCAACAGUAGAUGCUGUUUAUCAAAUGUGCCCUGGGCCCCAUACUUGGCACUUUACAUGAUUUAAAUACAGG
ensembl:lncRNA